rnacentral:rRNA from 1 species
AAUAUUGGACAAUGGGCGAAAGCCUGAUCCAGCCAUGCGGCGUGUUUGAAGAAGGUCUUCGGAUUGUAAAGCACUUUAAGUGGGGAGGAAGGUGUUGAAGCUAAUCCCUUCAAUCCUUGCCGUUACCAACAGACUAAACACCGGCUAACUCUGUGCCAGCAGCCGCGGUAAUACGAAGGGUAAAAGCGUUACACGGAAUUACUGGGCGUAAAGCGCGCGUAGGUGGUUCGUUAAAUUGGAAGUGAAAGCCCCGGGCUUAACCUGGGAAUUGCUUUCAAAACUGACGAGCUAGAGUACGGUAGAGGGUAGUGGAAUUUCCUGUGUAGCGGUGAAAUGCGUAGAUAUAGGAAGGAACAUCAGUGGCGAAGGCGACUACCUGGACUGAUACUGACACUGAGGUGCGAAAGCGUGGGGAGCAAACAGG